rnacentral:lncRNA from 1 species
AUAGACAGCCCUGCCAGAUGGAGAAGUCUGGGUGGAGGAAACUCAGGGACAGGAGACUUCUCCCAGAUCUGAUCAUCGUAGUGAGUACCAUGCUAUGCCAGCCUCCCCACAGGUUUUGUAAAGGAUCAGAUUUCCCCCCACCCUGAGACAGGAUGCCACUGUGUAGCCCAGUGUAGUGAACACUUGGAAUACAAAAUAAAGAUGGUGGAAUGAGACAUUCCGUCUCCAGUUCCUAACAUCAGAAGUGAGCACCUGUGUGUCACCAGCAACAUAUUGGAGGCCAGCUGCCUACACCAAUCAGAAACAGGGACCACAAAGUCUGCAGGGGUGAGAUAGGCCUUUUCAGUGUCUACGAUUUCAUCAUGGACAUUACUGUCGAUUUCUCUUCCUGCCCCUGUAUGUGCGGGUCUAUCGCCAUCUCGCCAUCUCCGGCUCCUGUGUUAUGAAGACAGUCUCAUGCAGCCCAGACCAAUCUCAAAUUGACUAGGUAAACUGAGGCUGGCCUUGAACCAGUCCCUCCUGCCUCUAUCUCCUGAGAGCUGGGUAACAGCUUCUGGAGCCUCACCCAGCUUCGCUUUCACCACCCCAGCCAAUCCUGUGACUCCUCUUCAUAGCGAGAGCAUUGACACUUAUGUUCUGAGUGUGAAAAAAAAAAAAAAAUCACAUAGUACUUCCUACUAGAACCUUGCCCGGGUCAACUGAAGUGUGUGUGUUUGCUUACCAGUCUGCAGGUUUGCUUAAGUUUGUUUAUUUUAGAGACCAGGUCUUGCUCUGUUGCCUAAGCCAACUUGAAACUCUUGGGCUCCAACAGUUCUCCUGCUCCAUCUUUCUAGAGCAGCUGGGACUCUAGGCAUGCUCCACUACAGCUGACUGAAGCUUGAAUGAAUGAAUGAAUGAAUGAAUGAGUUACUACCUCUGAGGGACCCUCCUCAUGGCCUUCUCAACUCUGUACUUUAAUUAGUUGCUUAGAGGUGUCUCCAUGCCUCAGUUUCCCCAUCUGUAAUAGUAAACGAGUUCACAGGCGUGGUCUGUGCUUGGAGCAAGAACAAAACCAUCCUGGCCUAUACUCUCUAGGGACUCUACAGAGCCCAUCCCUUUGGCUAUCAGACUGUUGAGAUAAAGGUUCCCCCAGGAAUCGGAAUCCCCUCCGACAGGAGUCUCAUGCUCAGAGAAGAAAAAAAGCUGAAGCCUGCUGACAGCCAGAGAGGGUACUUGUCUGUCAGGGAAAAAUUCUACACAGGACAGACUGGAGCCCAGACUGGUCUGGGUCAGUGACACACGGCACAGCACACGGUGGGACAACCUGGCUGUGCAUCUCUCUCAAACCUCAACCUCAGUCUGAAGAUGGAUUGGGGGGGGGGGUCCCUGGACCUCAUUACUUGUCACCCUUCUCACUGUGGCCACAGCGAAGCGAAUACAUCUCUCUGCUUUUCACUA